CGGGCGAUGCUAACCAUGCAUGCUACAGAGGUGGAGGGAGGUGAUCUUCUGUCUUAGCUGAGUAUUUGUGCAAUUAUUCGCCUUCAUGUGGGAUAGUGGAAUGAACGAUUGCUCAAUCUGGACCUGGGAAUGUUAAAGCUACAGGAUUUCACUGGAGGAAGCCCUUUCCUGAAAUACCAUGACCUUCAGAUGUAAGCUUAUGUAAAUAUCUGUGGAAUCUCAGACGCAGAUGAUGGUCUGAGUGACCUGCAGACUCUGAAGACCAGCCUGAUAUUGGGAAGACUUGAACGGACUGAGGGAAAACUCCCGUCCAGGUAAUUAUUAUCAGUGUCUUAAUGUUUUCAAUUUCUUUUUACCAACACAGUAUUCUGCAAUUUAACAUAAGAUUGUUCUGAC